GUCUAUUUGGGUUUAUAUAUAGUCUGGCCUGCUCACUGACAUAGGAUUGUUUAAGAGCCGCGGUAUUUUGACCGUGCAAAGGUAGCAUAAUCAUUAGCUUUUUGAUUGAAAGCUUGUAUGAAUGGUCGGACAAAGGAAAAGCUGUCUUUACUGUAAAAUUAGAAAUUAACCUCUAAGUGAAAAGGCUUAGAUUCUUUAGGGGGACGAUAAGACCCUAUAAAGCUUUACAUAUAAGUAGAGUUUACUUAAUUAAAAAGUAAAAGUUUAAUCUAAUUAAUGUGUUUUGUUGGGGCGACAUAAAUAUAAUUUAUAUUAACUGUUUAUAAAUUAAUACAAUAAUAAAUGAUUUUAAUGUAGUUGAUCCUUAUUAAAGAUUAAAAGACUAAGUUACUUUAGGGAUAACAGCGUUAUUUCUUUUGAGAGCUCCUAUCGAAAAAGAAGUUUGCGACCUCGAUGUUGAAUUAAAAUAUCUAAAUAAUGCAGCAGUUAUUUAAGAAGGUCUGUUCGACCUUUAAAUUUUG
rnacentral:rRNA from 1 species